UGGGGAAUAUUGGACAAUGGGCGAAAGCCUGAUCCAGCAAUGCCGCGUGAGUGAUGAAGGUCUUCGGAUUGUAAAGCUCUUUCGACGGGGAAGAUAAUGACGGUACCCGUAGAAGAAGCCCCGGCUAACUUCGUGCCAGCAGCCGCGGUAAUACGAAGGGGGCUAGCGUUGUUCGGAUUUACUGGGCGUAAAGCGUGCGUAGGCGGCUUAUCAAGUCAGAAGUGAAAGCCCGGGGCUCAACUCCGGAACUGCUUUUGAGACUGGUAGGCUGGAGUUCGGGAGAGGGUAGUGGAAUUCCCAGUGUAGAGGUGAAAUUCGUAGAUAUUGGGAAGAACACCGGUGGCGAAGGCGGCUGCCUGGCCCGAAACUGACGCUGAGGCACGAAAGCGUGGGGAGCAAACAGGAUUAGAUACCCUGGUAGUCCACGCCGUAAACGAUGAGUGCUGGACGUUGGGAUACUUAGUAUCGCAGUGUCGUAGCUAACGCGUUAAGCACUCCGCCUGGGGAGUACGGCCGCAAGGUUAAAACUCAAAU
rnacentral:rRNA from 1 species